GACGAACGCUGGCGGCGUGCUUAACACAUGCAAGUCGAACGGAAAGGCCCUGCUUUUGUGGGGUGCUCGAGUGGCGAACGGGUGAGUAACACGUGAGUAACCUGCCCUUGACUUUGGGAUAACUUCAGGAAACUGGGGCUAAUACCGGAUAGGAGCUCCUGCUGCAUGGUGGGGGUUGGAGAGUUUCGGCGGUUGGGGAUGGACUCGCGGCUUAUCAGCUUGUUGGUGGGGUAGUGGCUUACCAAGGCUUUGACGGGUAGCCGGCCUGAGAGGGUGACCGGCCACAUGGGGACUGAGAUACGGCCCAGACUCCUACGGGAGGCAGCAGUGGGGAAUAUUGCACAAUGGGCGGAAGCCUGAUGCAGCAACGCCGCGUGCGGGAUGACGGCCUUCGGGUUGUAAACCGCUUUCGCCUGUGACGAAGCGUGAGUGACGGUAAUGGGUAAAGAAGCAACGGCUAACUACGUG
rnacentral:rRNA from 1 species